CCGAGUUUCUACUCGAAAACCCAUUGUGAACUUUACCACUGUUGCUUCGGCGAGGCUUCAAACCCCUCGCCGGAGGUACAAACUCUUUACGUAUGUGUUGUGGCAUAUCUGAGUAUAAGAAUUUAAAUAUUCA
rnacentral:misc_RNA from 1 species